GGCUGUCAUCGUCUCUAAGGCCAUACGAAAGCGAGAUGAUAGAAAGGGAAGAACCAGAGAUGGUUCAACAUAUGAAAGGAUAGAAGUGGCAGCUGCAACGGUUUCAGAAAGAUGUUCAUUUUUGCUAUACUGUCCACGAUCAAUUAGCUUGAGAAUAGAAUGCACAAAAGAAACCCUCUCUGACUGCCCUAGGAAGAUUUCAG
rnacentral:misc_RNA from 1 species